AAGGAGUUCAUCAUUUGUGCAAGUGUUUAAGUGACAAACUUUUAUGCUAAAUGAAGGUAAACAAUGGGACUGAAUCUCACCAUUGACCGGCUUCUGUCUUUAAAUUUGAGUCAGAGCACAUCUGUUGGGACCCGAAAGAUGGUGAACUAUGCCUGAAUAGGGUGAAGCCAGAGGAAACUCUGGUGGAAGCUUGUAGCGGUUCUGACGUGCAAAUCGUUCGUCAAAUUUGGGUAUAGGGGCGAAAGACUAAUCGAACCAUCUAGUAGCUGGUUCCCUC
rnacentral:misc_RNA from 1 species